CAAAGAAAGAGAAAAGAGAAGAGGAAUGAAAGAGUGGAGUUACUCACACUUUUUGUUUUCCUCAUUCUUCUCUCUUCUAUUCUUUUUUCUGUGAAAGCUUUUUGAAAAAAGAGAAAUUAAAA
rnacentral:ribozyme from 13 species